CACUGAGUAACCUACUUGACCCUGCCCAUCUGUGAAUCAACCCAUCUAGCAAACCUGCUAUUCUUGGUGAGGCCAAGUCCUGCCAACAUGUUAUGUUUAUGAGGAGCCAGCCCAGCCUAGCAGUGUAUUGACAUGGAUCACUGGCAGUGAUUCAUUGUAAAGCACUCAGCACCAUGCCUGCCAUACAUUAAGUACCAUAGAAAGGUUUGUGAUGAUGAUGAUGAUGAUGAUGAUGAUGAUGAUGAUGCUUUGCCAUGCAGUGAAUUUCAUGAGAAUUCUCCAGAGAACAAAAGGAAAUUUAGUCUCCACCGUCCUAGAGUUUCAAGUUUUCAUGGCCAUGUGUUCCCUACAAGAGUGUUUCACUACCAAUAUCCACUUUACUUCUCGCCAUCCUAGCCUCUGUGUCUUCAUGAGAGAGUGCAAUUCCAGUUUGGAGAUAGGGCAGGGGAGGGCAAGUAUAAAACAGUAUACCUUGGAAUUACUCUUCUUGAGGCUAGGAGCAGAUGCCAACAGCUAUUUAUGAACAGUGGGAAUUGAGGACACAAGGAAAAUCAUUUCUUCCUGAUCCGUAUUUGCAGUUUAAAGCUAUCUUACUGUGAAAUAAAAGUUUUUCCUGGAUAAAGGAAUUUCA
rnacentral:lncRNA from 1 species